rnacentral:rRNA from 1 species
AGAGUUUGAUCCUGGCUCAGAUUGAACGCUGGCGGCAGGCCUAACACAUGCAAGUCGAACGGUAACAGAAAGCAGCUUGCUGCUUUGCUGACGAGUGGCGGACGGGUGAGUAAUGUCUGGGAAACUGCCCGAUGGAGGGGGAUAACUACUGGAAACGGUAGCUAAUACCGCAUAACGUCGCAAGACCAAAGAGGGGGACCUUCGGGCCUCUUGCCAUCGGAUGUGCCCAGAUGGGAUUAGCUAGUAGGUGGGGUAAAGGCUCACCUAGGCGACGAUCCCUAGCUGGUCUGAGAGGAUGACCAGCCACACUGGAACUGAGACACGGUCCAGACUCCUACGGGAGGCAGCAGUGGGGAAUAUUGCACAAUGGGCGCAAGCCUGAUGCAGCCAUGCCGCGUGUAUGAAGAAGGCCUUCGGGUUGUAAAGUACUUUCAGCGGGGAGGAAGGGAGUAAAGUUAAUACCUUUGCUCAUUGACGUUACCCGCAGAAGAAGCACCGGCUAACUCCGUGCCAGCAGCCGCGGUAAUACGGAGGGUGCAAGCGUUAAUCGGAAUUACUGGGCGUAAAGCGCACGCAGGCGGUUUGUUAAGUCAGAUGUGAAAUCCCCGGGCUCAACCUGGGAACUGCAUCUGAUACUGGCAAGCUUGAGUCUCGUAGAGGGGGGUAGAAUUCCAGGUGUAGCGGUGAAAUGCGUAGAGAUCUGGAGGAAUACCGGUGGCGAAGGCGGCCCCCUGGACGAAGACUGACGCUCAGUGCGAAGCGUGGGGAGCAACAGGAUUAGAUACCCUGGUAGUCCACGC